UCAACCCUCAAGCACUGCUUGGUGUUGGGGCACUGCCUCUCUCGCGGGAGGCAGGCCCUGAAAUCUAGUGGCGGGCUCGCCAGGACCCCGAGCGCAGUAGUUAAACCCUCGCUCUGGAAGGCCCUGGCGGUGCCCUGCCGUUAAACCCCCAACUUCUGAAAAUUUGACCUCGGAUCAGG
rnacentral:misc_RNA from 1 species